GCAAUCUGGCACAACUGGUGUCUCCGUCAGAGGAGGAAAUGGGACACACACAGAGUCUUAGCAGCAAACGCACCAAGAGGGAAAGGUGGCCAUCCACCCGCCCCAGAUAUGGACCUUCGGAGACCCCAGCCCUGGCCACACGUUCCUUGGGGACGUCCAGCCUCCUGGACUGAGACAGGAUGACCGUGGGCUACGGCACCCCAGGAGUGAUGGUUAAUAUUCGGGGCUUUGAACAGCACCUGAGAAUCAGGGCCUGGAGCCUGGGACAGCCAAGUGAGGUAUCCCUACUACUCAACUGAACACAUCGCCCUGAACCAACUAAUACUUGAAUCUCUUAAAAAAAAAAAAAAAGAAAAGAAAAGACCAUUUCUUCUUAGGAACCUUCAGUGAAUCCCAUAAUCCCUACUCAGAGGCCAGGAAGGAAGUACUAAAUGUCAGCCGAUGGGAUAGUGAAGAACGUCCUGUCCGCACAAUUGCCUAGAGGACGGCGCUUGUGGACAAGGAAGCCGAGUG